AGCUUUACUGUUCCCUGGCAUUGGUCUCGGCCCUUCUGCGCAGCUAGGUGGGACGCACAGAAGCUCCUCUUCCGGAGGGGUCAAGCCAUCCGUGAGAGACCACUCUAUACAAAGCUAGAAUUUCUAACCCUCUGCCGUCAUCCGGCGAAGGAACAGUGUAUCAGGUGGGCAGUUUUGACUGGGGCGGUCGCCUCCCUAAAGGUAACGGAGGCGCGCAAAGGUUCCCUCAAGGCUGGUUGGAAUCAGCUUUAGAGUGUAAAGGCAAAAGGGAGCUUGACUGCAAGAGUGAACAACUCAAGCAGGGACGAAAGCCGGCUUAGUGAUCCGACGGUGCCGAGUGGAAGGGCCGUCGCUCAACGGAUAAAAGUUA
rnacentral:rRNA from 1 species